CACCUCGGCCUCCCAAAGUGCUGGAAUUACAGGUGUGAGCCACUGCAUCCGGCCGAAUUCAGCAGUUUCACUUUCAAGUAAUGCGUAAAUGGGAUAUCAGUCUCUCCCCAGUGAUGCCUGCUACCUUUAUGAGUCUCCCCUGGAUUCGGCUGGUCACCAGUUUUGCCUUGACAUACUCCCACUCUGUGAUGAGUCCCUUCCUCCAGCAAGAUUCAAUAUCCUAAGUCCCACAAUCUGGGACAAUGACCCACAGGGUCUCUUGACAGACCAACAACCAUAGGUGGGGUCAACUCCACACCCCUAAUCAGCAGGAAGCAGUUGGAAGAUGAGACCUCAGCCCCAGUGUCAAAGAUUUGUCAUUGGUGUUCUGAGGGGUGUUACGGUGGUGGGAUGUGGAGUCCUGAGAAUAAGCAACAAUGAGAAAGGGGCCAGGUGGGCCCCAGGUGGGGAAGAACAAUGAACACAAACAACCAGAGGGCACACCUUCCACACAGUGGCCCCAGCAGCAUGACCUCUUUCUGCACCUACCCGCCUCCAGCAUGACCCUAUAAAACUUCCCUCCAGCCCCUGCCUCUUUGCAGACAGCUCCUCUGCAGUGCUGCCCAUUGCAUCCUUGCAACAUAUUUUCAUAUAUUCUCUAAUAAAUCUGCCUUUCGUUACCUGUGACUGUCUCCGUAAAUUUCUUUAGCACCUGCACCACUGGCCAGUCACACCCACGACAGAGUUAAUAUUUCUAUAACUCUUAGAAUAGUGCCUAGCACAUAACAAGUGUUAUGUAGGUGUUUGUUA
rnacentral:lncRNA from 1 species